rnacentral:misc_RNA from 1 species
UUACAUUAUAAGUUACCAUGAAGUGUGUUCCUGGUCGUGUUUCAGAAGUUGAAAGUUUGAAUUUUCCAAUUAUCCGAUUUAAACGACUCUCUUUCUUACUACCUCGUUCGGUUAUCCAACAUUGAGUGUUUUGAGCGUUUCAAAUGACAUAGGAAGGAGUUAAAAAGCGGAGAAAGAGGAACUGGUUGUCUGUAGCGCGCAAAAAUCAUGUUUGUAGCUCGCGAAAUUCCUGCAGAACACAAAGAUUUAAUUCACGAUGUGUCGUAUGAUUACCACGGAAGAAGAAUGGCUACUUGUUCCAGUGAUCAAAGUGUUAAGGUUUGGGAUCUUGGAGAGGAUGGUCAGUGGCAUUGUACAGCAAGUUGGAAGACCCACUCUGGCUCAGUAUGGAAAGUAACUUGGGCACAUCCAGAAUUUGGCCAGGUGCUAGCUUCAUGUUCCUUUGACAGGACCGCUGCAGUAUGGGAAGAACAAGUUGUAGGGUCUGGUGAUGGCAUAUCACAAAGGCAAAGUCAUUGGGUGAAAAGGACCUCCCUCGUUGAUAGUAGAACCUCUGUAACAGAUGUCAAGUUUGCUCCGAAACAUUUAGGACUACAGUUGGCCACAUGUUCCAAGGAUGGCACUGUUAGAAUUUAUGAAGCCCCUGAUAUUAUGAAUUUAAGCCAGUGGCAGCUACAAAAUGAGAUCUCACACAAACUGAGUUGUAGCUGUGUGUCAUGGAACUUAUCAAGAGUACAUCCACCAAUGUUAGCGGUAGGCAGUAAUGAUUCUAACACCAGUGCUGGAGGAAAAGUUCAAAUACAUGAAUACAAUGAAGCAAGCAGAAAGUGGCACAGAGUAGAAACACUUAUGGCAAUAACAGAUGCUGUUCACGAUGUGGCUUUUGCUCCAAAUUUAGGAAGGUCUUAUCAUCUUUUGGCCAUUGCUUCAAAGGAUGUUCGUAUUAUGAUGCACAAACCUUACAGGUUUGGAGAGUUGAGUGGAAUAUAACUGGCACAAUUCUGGCUUCCUCUGGAGAUGAUGGCUGUGUACGUUUAUGGAAAGCUAACUAUCUUAACAACUGGAAGUGUAUAACAGUUUUACGUGGAGAUGGCAUCUCAGGUUCCAUGCCUGGCCCUAGUAUGAGUGGUCCAAUC